CUACGGGCUGCACCAGUGAGCAAUAUUGCACAAUGGGGGGAACCCUGAUGCAGCAACGCCGCGUGGAGGAUGACGCAUUUCGGUGUGUAAACUCCUUUUAUAUGUCAAGAAAAUGACGGUAGCAUAUGAAUAAGCACCGGCUAACUCCGUGCCAGCAGCCGCGGUAAUACGGAGGGUGCAAGCGUUACUCGGAAUCACUGGGCGUAAAGGACGCGUAGGCGGGUUGGAAAGUCAGGUGUGAAAUCCUACAGCUUAACUGUAGAACUGCACUUGAAACUUCUAAUCUAGAGUAUGGGAGGGGGGGAUGGAAUUAGUGGUGUAGGGGUAAAAUCCGUAGAUAUCACUAGGAAUACCUAAAGCGAAGGCGAUCUCCUGGAACGUUACUGACGCUAAGGCGUGAAAGCGUGGGGAGCAAACAGGAUUAGAUACCCUCGUAGUC
rnacentral:rRNA from 1 species